rnacentral:piRNA from 1 species
UAUCCUGGCACUCGCUCUGUAGA